GCCGCCAGCAGGACUGUGGGGACCCCAAGCUGGGAGCAGGACUGGGACUGAGGGAGGAUGUUUCCCUGUGGGAAGGGUUUAAUAAUUUUUAAGAGCGAGUAGCUGCCAUUUAAAGUUGCUAAUAGAUCUUGCAGAGGAGGGCCCAGUUCCUGGUGAUGGGGACAGCAGGGGACAGCCCUUUUCUGUUGGGCAGAAAUAGGGCGAGUAGGUGCCCUUGGCUCAAGGGCAAGGUGAGCCAGCCUCAUGGGUGGCCUGGAACAUGGACUUGCUAGUGCUGACAUGGAGGAGUCUGGAUGCAUCCCAAUCUACUACGACCCACCUAAGCGGACAUCAAAUGUUAAAUGUGGGGAGCGGGGCCUGCACAUGAGAAGUUGGCUGAGAGAGGCCUUCACUUGAAGAUCCCUUUGGAAUGGAAACGCCUCUCGAUAAAUCACGUGGCUUCUCGCCAUCAGGAGUCUUUUCCCUUCAGAUCUCAUGGCCAAGAGAAGCACUGGCCAUAUGUUCAUGCCAUUUGGCAAAAAAUAUACGGAACCAACAAAACAAGCAUUGCGCUUAUGGAUGAUUUUUUUUUUUUUUAUCAUGCUGAAAGUGUCUUCAUCUUCAAUGCGUGGAUCUGUCAUUUUCCAUUGGGAACAAAUAGCCUCUUGUAUUAAGAUCAGCAUUUCUAAAGCUGCCAUCGCAACGUACGCAACUGGUGUCCUCCCCAUGUGUCCCUUUUCGCUUUUCACGCCUCAGGUGUCUUCCAAGUCACAAUGGGUGAGUGAAAAGGGACACAGGAAAGGAUUUCUCAGUCUUUAAUAUGAUAACAUGGAUUACAGAUGGCCAAGAGGAGAAUAUUGUGGAACUCUUCUCUGUACCCUGAUGUGCUACAGUUAGAGCCUUACUUUAUGUUGUAGUCAACGAAGAUGUGUGAAGUGCUGUCAGUGAGUAAACACUGUAUUUGGAAGACCGUCUCAGGAACCUGUCUGACCCACUGGACGAUAAUGUAACGGAAGCAGGGUCUUGGUUCGGGGGUGACGCCUUAGAGCCGAGGAUGGAGCUGGGCACACAGUGUGUGCUCAACGCCUCUCUGCUGACUAAAUGCAUGGGCUAUCAUGAGGGCUGAAAUGUGAGAAGAAAGACAAAGUGGAAGAUUCUGGUCCAGUUUCAACAGAAGCAAGCAAUUAACGUUGGACAUUUCAAGCCUGGCGCUGGGCAAAGGGCAGCUUUAAGCUUAUUAAAAGUAGUAGGCUUUUCAACGACUGCUCCAGAAUAAGGUGAAUAGAGGCAGAAAGGACGGAGGCAGACCAGGACAAGUCUGGCCAGUGGCUCGUAUGUUCUCAGGACAUCGCAGUAUUCCGGUAGCCUCUCGGCUGAGAAGCUCGCACUGCAGAGACUGAGCGCCUGCUUAAGGUCAGGUCUUUAAGCUCAGAAUGCAGUACAGGCCACAGUCGCCCGGGGUCCCCGGGUCUCUCACGUGGAGCUCUACUCUCCGCACAGGUAACAUCCUGUGUAAAAUCACCGCGUGAAUUCACGCUCCUCUCCGGCACUGGUUCUUAACUCGGAUUAGCAGCUUCCAACUAUUGCCCCUGCGUAGAACCACCGCUUGACAGCCCGUCGUCCUAAGGACUGCAUCCCUUUGAGAUUCACAGGAGCCAGAGCUAGGCUAACGUUAAAAUGCUAGAACACAACUGGGCUUCGUUUCAGGACAGAGCCCCGGCUGCUUACCGAUAUCUUUUGAGGUAAUCUUUCGCCUUUGUUUCAAGACUGGCUGCGAUGCCUCGACUGAGCCAGGGGGGAAGGUGAUCUCCCUUCGGAUCGGGGGCGGCUGGGGGGGCGGCCCCGUGACCUGGGCCGUGGGCACGGUGGGCAGGACCUUCUGCAUCUUGAGAGAGGGCAGGAAGGGCGACUUGCUGGGAGACAUGCGGCUCUCCAGGGAGCGCUGGAAGGACGCGGGGCUGGGGGCUCUGGAGAUGUGGUUUGGCAGUGACGGCGGCGUCUGGUAGGACGACUGAGGUGGGCGCGUGAUGGGCUGCAUGGAGGCGGGGGAGGACAUGUAAGGCUGCCGUGGGCUGACGUGAGAAGGCCACUGGCUCUCGUGAUUGAUCCUUUGCUCAGGUACCAUCAGAUCAUCCGUGCGGUUCAGGCCUGGGUACGGAGGCGCCUGGGCCGGGCCGCCGGGGCCCUGCCGGCUCUGGUAGGGGUAAGGCAUAUCGUUGCGCGUCGCCCACAUGCUCUGCUGAGGCCCCUCGCUGGAGGACGACUGCAUCGGGCCGCCCAUCAUGGGGGGCGGGAUCCCGUGCGGCUGCAUCUGGCCGGGGCCCUGCACCCUCUCUCUGUUGUAGGGGUACGGAUACUGCCCCUGCACGGGCCUCCUGUCCGGUCCGGAGUAGGAGGCCCCGUACUGGCCGUACAUCUCCUGCUGCUGGUUGCCGAACUGCAUGUUGUACAUGUCUCCCUCGUGGCGUUUGGCUGGAGGCCCAUACAUGCCGUCCAUAUGGCGUUUGUAAUUCUGAAAUUCAUAGAAAGACAAAUCACGCUGAUGUGCUUUUACAGGAUACCCCAUCUCGGACUCCCAGGAGGGUUUCCAAAGUUUUCGUGCACUUGGAAUUUUCUGUGGGGACAAGAAAGCUUCCUCCCUCUUUUCCUGGCAGGUAUCUCCUCACUGUGGGGAGUCCUCAGGGCUGCAGUAUAGGCGGACCCGGCUUUGGAGACCCCCGCGCCCGCAAUGCCAGACGGGGGCCGGGGGCUACAUGAAAUGCCUCGGCAGGAAGAGGAGAGCUCUCACCAGAAUGGACCGAGCCUCCUGGAAGCCAGCCUGGAAGGUUCCUGGGUAAACAGAUUUCUCAGGCCUCGCUUUGCAUUAGAAAUGUCUCCACACGGCAUCCGGCUCCUCAGACUGGGCCUGCGUGGAUGUCCUACAGUCUAGGGCCCCCACCCCGCCUUCCAGCCAUGCAGGUCAGUCUCCCCCUCGAGCCCUGCUGGUCCCUGCCUCUGACAGCAGGCCCGGUGCAGCCCGUGCUCUUCGGCUCCCCUGGAGGGGACACGCCGGGUGCCAGCACCUGAUCGGGUGGAAACCUCCUGAUGGGGACAGAUGUGGACUGUGAGCACUCUUUCCCCUCACUCAGAAAUCGUUUAGGAUCAGCUGGUGUAAAGUAAAAGUCACGUACGCACAUGCCCCGGUACGACUCGAUGUUUAAAAGCCCCUCCCUGUCACCGGAGGUCUUAGACCUGGAAAGUUGUUUAGAAACAGCAAAGUCGGCCACAGCAUGAGGACAAUUGUCUGCAUCAGUAGCAACAACUGCAAGGUGAUGUGAUGCAACUGAGGCUCCGCCCACCCGUGUCGGCAAAACGUGCCUUCCUCAAGACCUUGUUUUUAAAAAGCCAAUUAACCUCAAUACUGGCAGGUCAUAUUUGAAGUUAUUUACUUUUUUUUAACACAUCCUCUUUAAAACACUGACAAAUUUCUGUUCUGUGCUGGCACCUGACGACAACACACACCAGACGCCUGUUCACAAAACCUUUGCUCGGGCCGGGUGUUAUUUACAAGGAUGGCCGUCCUCUACUCCUUGCGCUGUGUUGUAUUUGUUUCAGGAUUGCAUAUAUUGAGAGCUUUCUAAAAUCUGCUGACUCCGAAAUCCUGAAGGUAUUUUCUGGCGUAAGCAAAUGCAUCCUGAUUGUUUAACAGAUGCUGCUGCGUUUUGUUCUACUUCCUAGAACGUCUCAGAAGUACGCGACCUGGAGCUUGCGACAGAAAGCACAGGGGUGCGUGCCCGCUUGCCAACUCACCGGCUGCUGUGGGUACAGGCCGGGCUGGUGUCCUCCAUACGGCGGCUGUCCUGAGGGAGGGCCUUGGCCUGGGUACUGCUGCCCGUAAGGUUCGUGCCUAGAAGGAGGCAUUCAAAGAAAACUUCGUUUUCAAAGGACCUCACGCCAAUAGAGAAACGCACAGUUCAUUUCUGGAAAUUCCGCGGCCCUGGGUGGUUCAGUCUUCCCUUCGCUGCACACGCCUUCCGACAGAGGCCUGGCAGAGCAGGAACGGCGCUGUCAUUUCAGCCAAAGGGGCGGGCACACCCACUGUGGGAACGCUGCCCAUCUCCUGGUUAGUAGGUGUGUGGGGAGUCCGGCCGGGCAGGCCGGCACCCUCUGCCUUUGAGAGGAGCCCCCGCCCACCCACUGACGCGGCCCCAGGGAGUGUCACAACAUGGUGAUGUGAGGUGCUCAUAAAAGCAGGAGGUGGCAAAGCAACGUAAGAGUCAGAGCAGGAUUUCUGGGAGUACCAGAGCGCAGACAUCUAACCCCAAAAACGGUCUCUACUUAUUUUCUCAUCAUGAAUAGAGAAUGGUCAACUUUUAAAAAGCAUACUUCCCAAUUCAUCCAAAAUGUACGGAGUUGGCAAAUAACUGUAAAAAUAGAAGUACUCAAAAUUUUGAAGUCCCAUGACCCUACCAGGCCACAGGAAAGAGUAAUAGAGAGGACUUACAAGAGUGACAGGGUUGAUUUGAACGUACUCCUACGUUUAAAUCUUUUUUAUGUUUCUAAAUCUUAGAAUGGGAAUGACUACUACAUUUUUCAACUGCUAUUACACUGAGAAGCUAUAAAUACCGUAAAAACAGCAUGCUUAAAAGAGCAGUAGAUUUGAACUUUAAAGAGAUAAACUGGCUUACUUGGUGCACUGAUUGAAUCCUGUAAGACAGACAAUACUUGGACUGAAUGUAUGCCUAACCGGUCAACGAAUGAGAACAAGAAAGAAAAGAAACGACUUUUUAGAAUGUCACGGGUCAAACAGACACAGGGGAUGUGCUUGUUAUGGGUACGCACAGCUAGAAGGAGGCUUACAGUUAGGAGGAAAGAAAUAUAAUUGACAGAUAAAAUUUAAGCUGAACAAAGGAAUGCAUUUCAGAAAAUCUAACAAAGGUAAACAAACCCUCCUGUGGUCAAGCCAAACGACUUAAGCUAGUUCUAGAAAGCAUUCUAGAAGAAACUCAACAGCACAUUUGCCUGGGUUCCUUUAAGAAUAUAUGUUCCAGGAUAAUUGUUCUCCCAAUCUCCUCGGAAGGAAGGAAGGAAGGAAGGAAGGAAGGAAGGAAGGAAGGAAGGAAGGAAGGAAGGAAGGAAGGAAGGAAAAAAAGAAAAAAGGGAAGUUUCUCCUGGAUCCUCAAACACGAGUCCACGUCAACCCUGCGCCAGCACACUGAGCAUGACGGGUAGCUGGUUCACGGAGACACUCACCACGCUUACGGCCACUGUGAGAAUCCCAAGUCUAGAUUCUUAUGUCAUUAUUAGAAAGUACCACACCAGUUUAAGCUUGUGAGGGCCAUGGAAUCUUAAGAAACAGGUGCACGGAAAGCGCCAGAAGGAAAUAGUAUUUGGUCAAAACAGUGACAUGCAGACUUCCUUCCCGUUUGUGUCAUGGGGGGGAGGCUCACACGACUUCAGCACCGCCUGCGGCCCGGUAGGCGGGCAGCCUGUGAGGGGCACAUCACACCGGCCUCCCUUCCCCGAGACGUGCCCCUGUGGCUAGUAAGGAACAGGGCCCUCUAGUGAGCCCCCCUUUCCCUUAAAAGUCGCGAAUAUUACAUUCAAGACUUGGUUUCUGAGCACCUGCGGUUGGUGAGGGAAAGAACGUACCACCCUGGGGAAGGGGCUUUCAUGGUCAGUACUGAUGUUAGGGGCACGGGGCCGCUUCACGGAAGGAAGUCUCCUGGAAGCCACCAUUCUAGGAAGCAGUUUCCGGUUACCUCUCAGAGACACUUCAGUGACUUUCCUUCCAUCUAAUUAAAACUAGCCUGGACGAGCGCUGAACCCCAACGUGCCGCUUCAGUGCCCAGAUGCCACCCUGGAAAAAAGCCUGCCGUGGCUUUCCUCAGAGAUGGUUUUAAGGACCAGGGUAGUCUCUCUCGGUUUAACACGUUUGCAGGGAAGGAUGGAAACAUCUGAGGAAACAAGGCCUGGAAGACUUUUCCGAGAACGUCCGCGAGCCGGAAGCUGAGGGGAAGCGCGGGGGGCCGGCGGCGCUGCACAGCCUGUGGCUGCCACACCGACUGCCAGAGGCGGGGGGCUCAGUGCGGUGACAGGGGCCCAGAGUCCGGGUGCUGUGAGGACCACCUGGCUCUCAAGAGGCCCCCUCCCCCCGCCUGAAGCCACCCCACAGGGUCCUUAUUAGGCCCAGCAGGAAAGCAGGUGCUGUGUGCUGUCGUCGGCGACCUGGGCUCAGAACUGCACGAGUGAGGAGAGUGCAGUUUCUAGAAGAUCUUCUCCGGUCGUCUCAGCGAGUACUCACCUUCGAUCGUAGCUGGCUCCGUAGGGAAACUGCUGCCGCCCCAUGCCCAGACCAGACAGCGCUCCGGAGGGACUCUGGUUGUACACGUCCUGCACGCUGCUCGUGGGCAUCUGUCCUUGAGUCAUAAAGGGCUCAUUGCUCCCAGGCACUGCAACAUUUUAAGUCACGGAUAGAAGAUUAAACAUUUCGACCGCCAAAGGGCCCAGACAGCCCUUUCUAGUCAUUUCUGUUAUCCUCAACAUGGUGGACGUAGAGGUCUUGUUCUUACUAUGGCUGACAACAACACAAACUGAGGGUAAGGUCUGGAGUCAGGAAGGAGCCCAAGAUCCCCAUCCCUUACCCCAUGUACGAGCCCCUCCCCCGGAGUGUGGGCAGAACCCACAAAUACCAUGGGGAUGGGGCUCCCAGGAUUACAUUGCAUUCAAUGGCCAAAGGGAUUUCACAGCUGUAACUGAAGUUCCGAAUCAGCUGACUGGCAGUCAACUGAGGGAGAUCGAGGCCCUUCAAGCUGUGUCUAGAAGUCAGAGAUGCCCACCGGCCGGCCUUGCGGAUGCGCCUACCACACAGUGGGGAAGGCCACGCGCUGAGAAGGGUGGCAGCCUCUAGGACUGGGAAGGCCCCCAGAUGACAGUCAACAAGACAAUGAGACCCCAGUCCUACGGCUGCGAGGAACCAAAUCUGCCAACAACCUCACUGAGCUCGGAGGAGGACCAUGAGUCCUGACUCAUGCUGAUGCGUGUCGUGGAAGGCCCCGAGCUGAGAGCCCACAGGGACCUGGGACCAUAAACUGGUGUUGUUUUA